ACUUAAAAUUUAAAAGACUUGACGGUACCUCACAACAGCCUAGAGGAGCCUGUCCAAUAACCGAUACUCCACGAUCAACCCAACCCCCCCUAGCCCAACAGUCUAUAUACCGCCGUCGCCAGCCUACCUCAUGAGAGAAACAAAGUAAGCCAAACAGUCAUACGCUAGCACGACAGGUCGAGGUGUAACUAAUGGGGAGGAUUAAGAUGGGCUACAUUUUCUAAUCAGAAUAUACGAAUAAACUAUGAAACAAGAAACUGAAGGCGGAUUUAGCAGUAUAUUAAGAACAAAAUACAUAAUAGAAACCAACGCAAUGAGGUGCGUACACACC
rnacentral:rRNA from 1 species